UGGGGAAUUUUGGACAAUGGGGGAAACCCUGAUCCAGCCAUCCCGCGUGUGCGAUGAAGGCCUUCGGGUUGUAAAGCACUUUUGGCAGGAAAGAAACGUCGCGGGUUAAUACCCCGCGGAACUGACGGUACCUGCAGAAUAAGCACCGGCUAACUACGUGCCAGCAGCCGCGGUAAUACGUAGGGUGCAAGCGUUAAUCGGAAUUACUGGGCGUAAAGCGUGCGCAGGCGGUUCGGAAAGAAAGAUGUGAAAUCCCAGAGCUUAACUUUGGAACUGCAUUUUUAACUACCGGGCUAGAGUGUGUCAGAGGGAGGUGGAAUUCCGCGUGUAGCAGUGAAAUGCGUAGAUAUGCGGAGGAACACCGAUGGCGAAGGCAGCCUCCUGGGAUAACACUGACGCUCAUGCACGAAAGCGUGGGGAGCAAACAGGAUUAGAUACCCUGGUAGUCCACGCCCUAAACGAUGUCAACUAGCUGUUGGGGUCUUCGGACCUUGGUAGCGCAGCUAACGCGUGAAGUUGACCGCCCGGGGAGUACGGUCGCAAGAUUAAAACUUAAAGGAAUUGACGGGGUCAUAGCUGUUUCCU
rnacentral:rRNA from 1 species